UCUGCAGGAUUAUGCUUCUCAUUCCCCAGGUCAUUGCUACCUAUGGGAGAUUCAAUUGAAGACAUCCUGGAACCAGAUCUUCUCAGUCCGCAUAUCCCUUUUAGAGUUCUGAAAAUGUACUCUGAAUAGGGGCCCGAGUCUUCAGAAGAAUUUCCAUGGAGGUGUAAACAAAUAGGAACAGCAAAGGCCUGGAGCCUGAAGCUUUCCUUUUCUUAGAUUUUCGGCAUGGAGCAGGCCCAGUGAAGAGGCCCAACCAUCUGAGUGUACUGUUUCACCAGAAGCAGCCUAGGGCAGGGAGAAGAUUUGUAUGAUGACUCUCAGACACACCUCUUCCAUGAAAACUUCUUUUUAAAAUUUGUGUUCUGACCCUACAAUAACAACAUAAUUAAGUCGUUGGAAAAGUUUGUCUCCGUUUUAUAAAAGUUAGUUUCCCGUGUCAGUUCUUUUAUAAGAAGUGAAAAAAUGAACUGCUUUCACUUCAAUUUUGAGGACAAUAUUGAAUGGCCUGAAUAAUUUAGAUUAUUUUCUCGUUGUGCCCAUUGUGAUCAUUCUUGUGCUGCAUCAAUUUUACAGCUUCUUUCUGCAGGAACUCUAUAUAUACUCUAGUCUUCCCUAUAUUCUGUAGAAUACUUAUCAAAAAGAGGAUUUUCAAACUAAAAGUGUAAAUAAGGAUCAAAAUGUAUAACUGAGAUUGUGAAAUAGGAAGAAAAU